rnacentral:rRNA from 1 species
AUGCAUGUCUAAGUACAGCUCGGCGGAGUAAUCUGCCGGGCGAAACCGCGGACGGCUCAUUAAAUCAGUCGUGGUCUAAAUGGGCUAAAGUUUCCUUUUGGAUAACUGUGGAAAAUCCAGAGCUAAUACAUGCUAUUUACGAGUCCUGAGCUAAAACCCUUUUUUCGUUUACGGGAACUGGGUGACUAACUCGGGAUGCUUUUAUUAGACCGAGGCGCGCGCAUGCUCGGUUCAGCCUUUCGCGGAUUUCGGUUUGUGACUGGCGGCCGUUUGUGUGUCGUUGUGUAAGCGCUUAAUGGUGAACCCUGGAUAACACUUGAUGAGCGUGCCAUUUUGGCACGCCGCCUACUUACGAGUGACUGCCCUAUCAGCUAGUAACGUAUGUUAUACGCGAACGCUGGCGGUAACGGGUAACGGGGAAUCAGAGUUCGAUUCCGGAGAGGCAGCCUGAGAAACGGCUACCACG